UACGAAGGGGGCUAGCAUUGCUCGGAAUCACUGGGCGUAAAGGGUGCGUAGGCGGGUCUUUAAGUCAGGGGUGAAAUCCUGGAGCUCAACUCCAGAACUGCCUUUGAUACUGAAGAUCUUGAGUUCGGGAGAGGUGAGUGGAACUGCGAGUGCAGAGGUGAAAUUCGUAGAUAUUCGCAAGAACACCAGUGGCGAAGGCGGCUCACUGGCCCGAUACUGACGCUGAGGCACGAAAGCGUGGGGAGCAAACAGG
rnacentral:rRNA from 1 species